rnacentral:lncRNA from 1 species
ACAUAAGUUCAUUAUAUACCAACAUGUGAAUAAUAUAGAUGGCUUCCUGGAUGUUGUAAUUGUUGCCUCAUAUUCUUGACGUUAUAAGUGGACUAUUCUUUGGGAGGGGAAAAAAAGCAAAGUCAAAGGUAGAGGUAAUGAGAUGAAAAUGGCAUGAAGCAAAAAGAUAUACUUUAGAAAGAAAACUCCCAGAAAUUCAAAGCAAUAACAGCAAAAAUAGAGUCCCAAGCAAGGUUCACCAUCUCCGUACCCGUAGCAUCCGAAUACAGUGUCAGUACAUGAUACGGUACGAGAUAGCUAGGGGUAUCAAGUGUCGAUGCAGUAUGACAUUACACACCGGUUCGAUACUGAUACAAUAUGGUACCGAUCUUUACGGUAAAUCUUGGUCCCAAGGGAUGCAUAGAUC